GGCGGUGGCGGGGCCAUGCCUCGGAAGGGGAAGGCACAGAUUAAGGAAGCUGUAAAACCUGUUCCUUCAGGCCCUGUGGCAACUGAUAAAAGUGGUUCUGUUAUCAUCUCUAUACAUGCCAAACCUGGAUCUAAGCAAAAUGCUAUAACAGAUCUGACUACAGAGGCCGUGGGUGUGGCAAUUGCUGCACCCCCGUCUGAAGGGGAGGCCAAUGCAGAGCUCUGCCGCUACCUCUCUAAGGUCCUUGAAGUUAAGAAGAGCGAGGUUGUAUUGGAGAAGGGAGGUAAAUCUCGAGAAAAAGUAGUGAAAAUAUUGGCACCACUGACUCCAGAGGACGUUUUAGAGAAGCUAAGAAGAGAAGCUUUCAGCUGAAGCAGUAAACAAGCCAUCUAAGCAAGUCUUUCUCCAGGAUGUGAAGAACAAGACACUCUAAGCUUCCAGGCAGUACACGGGGGAACAAUGAGCAGAUGCGGAUGAAAAUACUCUUCAUGCUACCUCUGUCCUGUGGAAGAGUGAGACAGUGGCCCUCAGAAAGGAGAGGAGGAUUGAGAUGACCCUGAUCCGAUCUUCAUCUGUAUGUAGCACAGGAGGCAGGAGGGACAGUGCAUUGUGGCCUCACGUUACAGCAUGGGCAGAACUUCCUUGGCGAGCAGGUCCACCCCGAGCCUGAGAGUCAAGGGUGAAGUGCCAGUUUUGCUGCAAUGCACUGAUAUGACUGACCCUCUGGAAGCUAAGUGGCUCCUGGCCAAGAAGGCUGGUCAACUGUUACGGGUGGGAGAAGUAGGAGGAGGAAGGGCACAGCUGACCAGUCAGAGGCGUGGAAUGGAGCAGCCCACAUGGCAGCCUUUGGCAUUGUCUGUGCGCGUCUGCAGAACUUUGGCAGACCAGUGAGACCAACAGUGAAGUGCCUUAUAAACUGAGAAGCACGGUGAAAUCACAAGACCGCCUGCUGCUAGAGCACGGAUGAACUUGUUGGGGCAGUCAUGCUGGAAUAUAAGAUAAAGCUCCUGCGAUUUGCUAAGGACUUCCAGUCGACAUAGCACCUUAAUUCAGUGUGGCACGUUAAUUUGGGCAUGCCUGUUAAUCCAGAAUGUUGAGGCAGCCCAUUCUGCAUCAAGCUUUGUUCGGAGCCGAUGACGCAUAACAGCGGGUGCAAUGGCUUGCCCAGGCCGUCACCUCCAAAACAGAGCUGGAACUCUGCUGUGUGUCAACUGGCUAACCUCCUUACCCAGCAGCGGACCCCUCUUUUCCCCAUUCAGAAAAUGCCAUGCCAUGCUUAGGAUACACGACCUCAGAACUGACUGGAGAGUUCAGGGCACGCUGCACUGGGUGGCAGGGUAGGCAGAGCUGCAAACAUACAUGGAAUGGCCUCACUCCCUUGUCUGCUCGGUCUUGUCUAGGGAGCAACGUCUUUAUGUUUACUUUUCGCUUAGUGUCAGCCAGAAAGGCAGGAUUUAAAGAGGGUAGGUAGCCAAUUGUACAUAGCCCAAAGAGAAGAGGCAGAGAUAUGUGAAAUUUGCAUAGGCUCAAUUUAUUUGUCUGCAUAUCCAUUAGCAAUAAUUACCAUAAUUGGAACAGAAGGCAGUAAGGCUGUGCUUGUAUGGUCUGCUGGGCUGCUCUGGCUGCUGCUGGGGCCCUGCUUCUCUUCCUUGGUUUCUUCAUCUUUGAACCAAGCUUGGACUUGGACAACCUUUCAAAUAGAAGACCAUAUUUGGAAAGUAGAGCACAUGUCCCGUCCUGCCCCCCCCCCCCCUUAUAAAUACUUAAAAGAAAUGCAACCGGGCAUCCUAUCUCUAAUUGGGGCAGUUGGUGAUAACACCAUCAGAAAAGGUGGGUGGAGAGGAGCUUCUUUGGCACAUCUGAGACAGCAGAGUAAAAAUCAUUUAAAGAACCUCAUUGACCUUUACCUUGAACCACAUAACAUUUUGCAGUUUUAUACAUUAACCCAGCAUUUCCUGUAGAAAGCCUAAUUUUUCCUCCAGCACUAAGCUGGAUGGGCACUUCACUGUUAUAUGAGAAACUGUUUUCUAGGGUGUAUGAAAGGAACAGCUGCCAGCCCUUAAAGGAGCCCAGUCUCUGAAUGAUUCACCAUUCUGGUUGUUUGCGCUGUGGGAGCAGGGUAGACCUUAGCUGAGUCUCUUCAUCUAGAAGUGAUUGAUUCUGGUGGGACAAAACAUGCUCCCCCCCACCCCCAUGGAGGUUGGGCUGAAGCAAGGGCGGAGCAAUAGCCCAUGAGUAGCCUCCUCUGAGGAUGGAUGAUAAUCAGGGAGUGAUUGAAUGAUCCAGUUGCACCUGAUGCAAAGAUGCCAGGCAGUUACCCGGCCCAGCAAAGGAUCACUGAAAGGAGCCAAUCCUGCGAAGCAGUUGCUCAUGCAGCAAAGCGGUUGGCCAUCUCAACCAGUACUCUACCAGGGGUAUCUUGGGCUGUCCAAAGGCUAGUUCUUAAAAAUGAAUUUAUCCUUUGUGAGGCUUAGUUUAGGAGUAACAGCCUUGACCUGAAAGCCAGUUCUCCACACCAUCUCCACCCUGGUAGCCUGUCAGAGUAUGUGACCAAAGUAGGACAUGAUCUCCAUGAGUUUGGUUUCUUAAGCCCGACAGGAAGAGAAAGAGGUUGCUGUUUUGAGUCCCCCAGAAUGCCAGAUAUCUGGCGCAAUAAAUAGGCAGAUUUAUCCAUAAUUUUAAAAAAGGCCGUGAAGACCCGGCUGAGCUUAAAUUAGGCUUUGCAGAUUCCUCCCUAGCACUCUGUUCACCAGGCUCUUAGCAAUUCUGGUUGGCUCGUUUGAGGUAAUUUUACAGUAUUUGCUACAUGUCACAGUGUCUGUGCUCCACCAAGGGGAUGCUUGCAAAGUACAUGUCGGGAGCACACUGAAAUGUCUCCUGGCAGCUGGCUUUCAGCUCAAGCGCUUGUGUCAAAACAGGAAGGACAGGAUCUGUGAUGGGGAUGAUAUUAUCCUCGGGUUUUCAGUGACCACGUACAUCCCAGUAUUCAUGGGAACAUGUAGCAGAUUGCUUUUGUACAUUUCUUAUUUUCUUUCCCAUUUUUGGAGAGUAAUGUCUGUGACAGUUCUCUUUUGCUGAACCAGAAUGCUGUGCAAAUAAUCCCAACAAAUAGGCAAUUAAUGGGUCUAUCUGGAGUGUUGGCUCUCCCCCCUCCCCUCCAACUACUGAGAACAUUUUGAUCAAGAUGCCACAUUUAUUUUUUAAACACACAGUUCUGUUAAGACCUUAAGGCUUUUAUACAUAUGGGCAGGCAAUUUGUGGGAUGGAAGAUCCUAUUAGGGUAUGUAGGGGAACUUAAGCGGCUCUGAUCCCUUCUGGACAGCUAAGAGACAUCUGUGCCCUUGAAAAGCUUCCUGAGCUCUCCUGCAGGAAAUAAAGGUUUAUGUACCACAAGAGGGAGAAGGUGGGAAAUGUGAAAACAACCCGGUUGGAGCAUUGGUCCAGUAUUGUCCACCGCACUGCUGGAGAACUUCAGCCUGUGCGGCUUCCCAGCAUGGUUCAGUGAAGGCCCCUCGCAAAGCCUGGCCCUUCAGAGAAUGGUACCGCUACUCAGUGAUGUAGGAAGAGACUUUUUCUCCAUUGACUUUUCUGUGCACAGAGGAAGAAUUUGUCCUUUCCUCCACGCACAGAGAAGAAAGCAAAACAACCUGGCCGUGGAGAAAGAGUCCUUGUCUGGGGUGCCUGCAUGGCCCUUGGGGCAAAAAGUGAUUCCCCAUCCCGGUGUCACUGGCUCUCCAGGGCUUCCUACCUGGCUCUAAUCAGAGAUGUCCUGGGGCCUUCUGCUUGCAGAGUUUGUGCUUCGCCAUCAAGCAGUCCCUUCCCCAAAAUUACGAACGCUCAAGCGCCAUUGCUGGCACCUCUCCUCAGAUGCACCCAGCUCUGGUUAGCCCAGCUUUGAGCUGUUUCCAGAGCUGCCACCAUUCUGGGAAACACCUGUGCAUUCCAUACUCUAUUUGGAUGAUACUUGGUAUUCUUUGUGCUUGCCACACACCUUUGGUGGCAGGGCUUUUUGACAGGAAAAAUUAGAACCACACUGUGCUACAUGAUUGUAAUUUGUGCAACAUUGCACAGGCCGGCACAAUUUUUUCAUGCUCAUACAUGCUUUGUUGCUUAGAGUCACAUUCUUCUGUGCUCAAGAGGUGUUGUGAAUUUGAACAAAACGUGUGUGUGUGUACAGAGAGAGCGAGCAAGAAGGAAAUGCACACACAGUGCAGCAAGCCUCACCCAGCUCCCUUUUUAA